rnacentral:rRNA from 1 species
UGGGGGAUAUUGCACAAUGGGGGAAACCCUGAUGCAGCGACGCCGCGUGGAGGAAGAAGGUUUUCGGAUUGUAAACUCCUGUCGUUAGGGACGAUAAUGACGGUACCUAACAGGAAAGCACCGGCUAACUACGUGCCAGCAGCCGCGGUAAAACGUAGGGUGCAAGCGUUGUCCGGAAUUACUGGGUGUAAAGGGAGCGCAGGCGGGAAGACAAGUUGGAAGUGAAAACCAUGGGCUCAACCCAUGAAUUGCUUUCAAAACUGUUUUUCUUGAGUAGUGCAGAGGUAGAUGGAAUUCCCGGUGUAGCGGUGGAAUGCGUAGAUAUCGGGAGGAACACCAGUGGCGAAGGCGGUCUACUGGGCACCAACUGACGCUGAGGCUCGAAAGCAUGGGUAGCAAACAGGAUUAGAUACCCUGGUAGUCCAUGCCGUAAACGAUGAUUACUAGGUGUUGGGGGAUUGACCCCCUCAGUGCCGCAGUUAACACAAUAAGUAAUCCACCUGGGGAGUACGACCGCAAGGUUGAAACUCAAAGGAAUUGACGGGGGCCCGCACAAGCAGUGGAGUAUGUGGUUUAAUUCGAAGCAACGCGAAGAACCUUACCAGGUCUUGACAUCCGAUGCAUAGCACAGAGAUGUGUGAAAUCCUUCGGGACAUCGAGACAGGUGGUGCAUGGUUGUCGUCAGCUCGUGUCGUGAGAUGUUGGGUUAAGUCCCGCAACGAGCGCAACCCUUAUUGCCAGUUACUACGUUAAGAGGACUCUGGCGAGACUGCCGUUGACAAAACGGAGGAAGGUGGGGAUGACGUCAAAUCAUCAUGCCCUUUAUGACCUGGGCUACACACGUACUACAAUGGCGUUAAACAAAGAGAAGCAAGACCGCGAGGUGGAGCAAAACUCAAAAACAACGUCUCAGUUCAGACUGUAGUCUGCAACCCGACUACACGAAGCUGGAAUCGCUAGUAAUCGCAGAUCAGAAUGCUGCGGUGAAUACGUUCCC